rnacentral:misc_RNA from 1 species
GAUGAAGAACGCAGCAAAAUGCGAUAAGUAAUGUGAAUUGCAGAAUUCAGUGAAUCAUCGAAUCAUUGAACGCACAUUGCGCCCGCCAGUAUUCUGGCGGGCAUGCCUGUUCGAGCGUCAUUUCAACCCUCAAGCACAGCUUGGUGUUGGGACUCGCGUUAAUUCGCGUUCCUCAAAUUGAUUGGCGGUCACGUCGAGCUUCCAUAGCGUAGUAGUAAAACCCUCGUUACUGGUAAUCGUCGCGGCCACGCCGUUAAACCCCAACUUCUGAAUGUUGACCUCGGAUCAGGUAGGAAUACCCGCUGAACUUAAGCAUAUCAAUAAGCGGAGGA